CCCUUAGAUGUUCUGGGCCGCACGCGCGCUACACUGAUGCAUUCAACGAGUCUAAAACCUGCUCUGAUAGGGGUGGGUAAUCUUUUGAAUGUGCAUCGUGAUUGGGAUAGAUGAUUGCAAUUUUUCAUCUUCAACGAGGAAUGCCUAGUAAACGCAAGUCAUCAGCUUGCAUUGAUUACGUCCCUGCCCUUUGUACACACCGCCCGUCGCUCCUACCGAUUGAAUGAUCCGAUGAAUAUCAUGGAUUGAGGAUGCAAGUAGGUUCGCCUAUCUUCAUCUUCGAGAAGUGAAGUAAAUCUUAUCAUUUAGAGGAAGGAGAAGUCGUAUCA
rnacentral:rRNA from 1 species